rnacentral:rRNA from 1 species
AUUGAACGCUGGCGGCAGGCCUAACACAUGCAAGUCGAGCGAGCGGCGGACGGGUGAGUAAUGUAUGGGGACUGCACGAUAGAGGGGGAUAACUACUGGAAACGGUAGCUAAUACCGCAUACUAUCGGAUAACCCAUAUGGGAUUAGCUAGUAGGUGAGGUAAUGGCUCACCUAGGCGACGAUCCCUAGGUGGUCUGAGAGGAUUACCAGCCAGACUGUGACGGAGACACGACACAGAGUCGUACGGAGGCAGGAGUGGGGAUGCUUGCACAAUGGGCGCAAGCCUGAUGCAGCCAUGCCGCGUGAAGGAAGAAGGCCCUAGGGUUGUAAAGUACUGUCAGUCGGGAGGCGUUACCGACAGAAGAAGCACCGGCUAACUCCGUGCCAGCAGCCGCGUUC